AGGACGAACGCUGGCGGCGUGCCUAACACAUGCAAGUCGAACGGGACCAGGGGCAACUCUGGUUCAGUGGCGGACGGGUGCGUAACACGUGAGGAACAUGACCUUCGGCGGGGGAUAGCCGGCCCAACGGCCGGGUAAUACCGCGUACGACCACAUGGGGACAUCCCUGAGUGGUGAAGCAGCAAUGCGCCGAUGGAGUGCCUCGCGGCCUAUCAGCUAGUUGGUGAGGUAACGGCUCACCAAGGCGACGACGGGUA
rnacentral:rRNA from 1 species